rnacentral:rRNA from 1 species
AUACGGAGGAUCCGAGCGUUAUCCGGAUUAUUGGGUUUAAAGGGUGCGCAGGCGGCCAUUUAAGUCAGCGGUUAAAUCGUGGGGCUCAACCCCAUUCUGCCGUUGAUACUGGGUGGCUUGAUUGCGGUCGAGGUUGGCGGAAUUCGUUGUGUAGCGGUGAAAUGCAUAGAUAUGACGAAGAACACCGAUUGCGUAGGCAGCUGACCAGACCGCAAAUGACGCUCAUGCACGAAAGUGCGGGGAUCGAACAGGAUUAGAUACCCUGGUAGUCCGCACAGUAAACGAUGAAUACUUGUUUUCGGCGAUAUAAUGUCGGAGGCAAAGCGAAAGCGAUAAGUAUUCCACCUGGGGAGUACGCCGGCAACGGUGAAACUCAAAUGAAUUGACGGGG